CGAGAUCUGAGACGUUGAAACGGAGAAAAUCAACGGCAACCGUUCCUCCGUCCUAGACCUAACCACUAUCUUACCUUCGAUAGAGACAACACGAAGACAAUGACGCUAAACAUGGCGAAUACGGUGGCCGGUUUAUCUCCGGUUAUCGCUCCAAUUUAUUGUCCGAUUACCAACCGGAAGCCAAUCAGUUUCUACAAGCCGCAUCUUCUCUCGUACAAACAAAGCCUUAUAUCGUCUCUACACAGUUCGAGAACUGCUCGCGUGAUAGAGGUGCCACGCAAGCAAAGGAACCGGUCGUGUUCUGUUUGUUGGUCUCUCACUGAUGAAGAAGAAUCAAAGGGUUCCGAGGUAGUUCAAUGAAGUAGGGUCUUAAUGGUGUUUGUGUCUCUUGUCUGAGACUUUGGUAUUGUUGUUUUUUAUGGUAGGGACAGGUUGCUUCGGUAGAUAUUAAACUACCAAGAAGAAGUUUGCUUGUGGAAUUCAGUUGCAACUCAUGCGGAGAAAGAACAAAGCGGCUUAUCAAUCGGCUGGCCUAUGAACGUGGCCUUGUCUUUGUCCAGUGUGGUGGAUGUCUUCAGCAUCAUCAACUGGUUGACAAUCUCGGUCUCAUUGUUGAGUACGACUUCCGCCAAGAAACCUCUAAGGAUUUGGGUAUCGAUCAAGUUUGAUAAAGCUUGAAUCAGUUUUGUUCUUUUUUAUCUCAGAUAUGUUAUGAUAACAAGUAAAGCUAUGUUCCACAAAGAAUACAACAGAAGAAAAGUAUUAUUUUUGAAUUAAUGUGUUGGUAUA